ensembl:lncRNA
UAUCAACGGUGGGGUGUGUUCUGACGUCGGCAGCCUUGGCGCAGGACAGAAUGUUUUCUGUGGUGGUUUGGCUGCGGUGCCAGUGACCCAGCGGAGUGGAUCUCUGAGGAUACGCUGACGUAAAAAAAGAGCUAAAGGCUAACAGUCGACCCUCAAAGCUACCCGACGGCCGUGGAUGUGCUGCACGCCCCCGCGUCGAACCGUACGUCCUGAACUCCGAGCGUAGAGGAAGCCUUCGCCGUCCCGGGAGAGAAAGCUUGUGAUUGGCUGUCGGGCAGACAUGGGCAGGAAGUGGGCGUCGGGCGUCGGCCCCUGGCUGACGAUGCUCCUCGUUCACCUGACGUCCG